rnacentral:rRNA from 1 species
UACGAGGGGGGCAAAUGUUGUUCGGAAUUACUGGGCGUAAAGCGUGCGCAGGCGGUGAUGUAAGACAGUUGUGAAAUCCCCGGGCUCAACCUGGGAACUGCAUCUGUGACUGCAUCGCUGGAGUACGGCAGAGGGGGAUGGAAUUCCGCGUGUAGCAGUGAAAUGCGUAGAUAUGCGGAGGAACACCGAUGGCGUAGGCAAUCCCCUGGGCCUGUACUGACGUUCAUGCACGAAAGCGUGGGGAGCAAACAGG